rnacentral:rRNA from 1 species
AUUAAACGCUGGCGGCAUGCCUUACACAUGCAAGUCGAACGGCAGCACGGGGGCAACCCUGGUGGCGAGUGGUGGACGGGUGAGUAACACAUCGGAACGUGCCCUGGAGUGGGGGAUAACGCAGCGAAAGCUACGCUAAUACCGCAUAUUCUGUGAGCAGGAAAGCAGGGGAUCGCAAGACCUUGCGCUUUGGGAGCGGCCGAUGUCGGAUUAGCUAGUUGGUGGGGUAAAGGCUUACCAAGGCGACGAUCCGUAGCGGGUCUGAGAGGAUGAUCCGCCACACUGGGACUGAGACACGGCCCAGACUCCUACGGGAGGCAGCAGUGGGGAAUUUUGGACAAUGGGCGGAAGCCUGAUCCAGCCAUGCCGCGUGAGUGAAGAAGGCCUCGGUUGU